UACGAAGGCUCCAAGCGUUAUCCGGAUUUAUUGGGCGUAAAGCGUGCGCAGGUGGUUUUGUGCGUCUCGUGUUAAAUGUCACUGCUUAACAGUGUCACCGCACGGGAUACGGCAAAACUAGAGCAUGUGAGAGGUUACUAGAAUUCACGGUGUAGGGGUGAAAUCCGUUGAUAUCGUGGAGAAUACCAAAGGCGAAGGCAGGUAACUGGCACAUUGCUGACACUCAGGCACGAAAGCGUGGGGAGCAAAAAGG
rnacentral:rRNA from 1 species